GACGAACGCUGGCGGCGUGCCUAACACAUGCAAGUCGAACGGGACCAGGGGCAACUCUGGUUCAGUGGCGGACGGGUGCGUAACACGUGAGGAACAUGACCUUCGGCGGGGAGUAGCCGCCCAACGGCCGGGUAAGUACCGCGUACGACCACAUGGGACGAUCCCUGAGUGGUGAAAGCAGCAAUGCGCCGAUGGAGUGCCUCGCGGCCUAUCAGCUAGUUGGUGAGGUAACGG
rnacentral:rRNA from 1 species